rnacentral:rRNA from 1 species
GAGGGGCAUCACGGGUAGCAAUACUUGGUGGCGACCGGCGCACGGGUGAGUAACGCGUAUGCAACCUACCUUCAACUGGGGAAUAGCCCAUGGAAACGUGGAUUAAUGCCCCAUAGUAUCAUCGGAUCGCAUGGUUUGAUGAUUAAAGUUCCGGCGGUUGAAGAUGGGCAUGCGUGCCAUUAGAUAGUUGGUGAGGUAACGGCUCACCAAGUCUUCGAUGGCUACGGGGUCUUAAAGGAUGGUCCCGCACACUGGUACUGAGACACGGACCAGACUCCUACGGGAGGCAGCAGUGAGGAAUAUUGGUCAAUGGGGGCAACCCUGAACCAGCCAUGCCGCGUGGAGGAAGACUGCCCUAUGGGUUGUAAACUCCUUUUUUACGGGAAUAAAAUUUGCCACGUGUGGUGAACUGAAGGUACCGUACGAAUAAGCAUCGGCUAACUCCGUGCCAGCAGCCGCGGUAAUACGGAGGAUGCAGGCGUUAUCCGGAUUUAUUAGGUUUAAAGGGUGCGCAGGCGGCCUGUUAAGUCAGUGGUGAAAGUUUGCAGCUUAACUGUAAAAUUGCCAUUGAUACUGUCGGGCUUGAAUGUAGUAGAGGUAGGCGGAAUGUGUAGUGUAGC